rnacentral:rRNA from 1 species
UACGAGGGGGGCUAGCGUUGCUCGGAAUCACUGGGCGUAAAGGGUGCGUAGGCGGGGCUUUAAGUCAGGGGUGAAAUCCUGGAGCUCAACUCCAGAACUGCCUUUGAUACUGAAGAUCUUGAGUUCGGGAGAGGUGAGUGGAACUGCGAGUGUAGAGGUGAAAUUCGUAGAUAUUCGCAAGAACACCAGUGGCGAAGGCGGCUCACUGGCCCGAUACUGACGCUGAGGCACGAAAGCGUGGGGAGCAAACAGG